GGCGGGGGGCAGUGCGAGUGGCGGCGGCGGGGGAGGAGGCGGGGGGCGGCGGCUGCCGCAGAAGGGCCGAGAGCUGGCGGCGGCGGCGGUGGUCGUGAAGGGCAUCGGCGGCGGCAGUGAAGGCAGCGAUGAUCUGAAGAUGGAAAGAGCCAGGCGAAGGGGAGGCGGCGGCGGCCGUGGCCGCGGAGGCAAGAAUGUAGGGGGCUCUGGCCUAAGCAAGAGUAGACUGUAUCCCCAGGCCCAGCACUCCCACUACCCCCACUACGCGGCCUCAGCCACCCCUAAUCAGGCCGGGGGCGCAGCCGAAAUCCAGGAGCUGGCCUCCAAACGAGUGGACAUCCAGAAAAAGAGGUUUUACCUAGACGUGAAGCAAAGCUCACGGGGCCGCUUCCUAAAGAUAGCCGAAGUCUGGAUAGGUAGAGGCCGGCAGGACAACAUCAGAAAGAGUAAACUGACCCUCUCCCUGUCUGUGGCAGCGGAGCUGAAGGACUGUCUAGGGGACUUCAUCGAGCACUAUGCCCACCUGGGCCUGAAAGGCCACCGGCAAGAGCAUGGCCACAGCAAAGAGCAAGGCUCCAGGAGGAGACAGAAGCACUCGGCACCCUCCCCACCGGUCUCGGUGGGGUCCGAAGAGCAUCCUCACAGUGUCCUGAAAACAGACUAUAUCGAGAGGGACAAUAGGAAAUAUUACCUAGACCUAAAGGAAAAUCAGCGGGGUCGCUUCCUACGGAUUAGACAAACCAUGAUGCGGGGGACUGGCAUGAUAGGUUAUUUUGGCCACAGUUUGGGCCAAGAACAGACUAUUGUCCUCCCAGCACAAGGAAUGAUUGAGUUUCGUGAUGCCUUGGUUCAGCUGAUUGAAGACUAUGGCGAAGGCGACAUAGAAGAACGAAGAGGUGGAGACGAUGACCCACUUGAACUCCCAGAGGGGACUUCUUUCAGAGUGGACAAUAAAAGGUUCUACUUUGAUGUGGGCUCUAAUAAAUAUGGAAUUUUCCUGAAGGUAAGUGAGGUGAGACCACCUUACCGUAAUACUAUUACUGUUCCAUUCAAAGCUUGGACAAGGUUUGGGGAGAAUUUUAUCAAGUAUGAAGAAGAGAUGAGGAAAAUUUGCAACAGCCAUAAAGAAAAGAGAAUGGAUGGCAGAAAGGCCAGUGGUGAAGAACAAGAAUGCCUCGACUAGAGUGAAAUUGAACUCCAUCAGGCAAAAUUUUAAAUCACAAAUUGGCUAAAAGUACUGAUCCAUUAUCAUUUGAAGAAGUUUUUCCUCUUUUUUGGCCCUUUGUUAUUAGUAAUACCUCUAGUAGUUGAUACUUCAAGAAGUCUGAUUCUCAUGUUAUGUUACACAUAGAUAUCACUAUAAUUCUUAUGGGAAUUCCAACCUUCCCAGAGCUAAAUAGUUUAGCUGCUUCAACUGCUCCAGACUAUUGAAGUAUGCAAAUCAGCACAAAAUGUGACAUUCUGACAUUCUAAAUACCGUAACUAAGAUUUACAUUGCACUAUGACAUAAUCCUGAGAAAAGGUACAUAUACUUCAAUGGAAGUGUGACUUUCUAGUUAACAAAUUCCCCAAAAAGUAUUUCAAUCCUAUUUCAUUAAAAGCUGCUAAGCUUAUCUGUAGGGCAGUUACCACAGAAACACAAAUUGACCUCAAGUAUAUAUAAAUAUAUUUAUUUAUAAAAGUACAAGUAGACAUAUAGUGUCUAUUGGAUAACUGAAUAUACCAUCAAAGGAUCAAAUCUUAUUAUCUAAGUAAACCUUAAAAAUACAGUGUCAUAGUAUUUCUUAAGAGUUACUAUAGUAUUCUAUAAUUUCAAACUUUAUGGUAAAUUUUAUAGUUGCCAUAUCAAAGCCAUGGGAGAGUUUUAAUUGGUUAUUCUAAGUUUAAUUACAAUCCCUUCUUUACCUCUACUUAUUGUUUUACGUAUUUUUAUUGACUUUCCAAAGUUUCAGGAAUUACUUUUAUGUCACAUUGAGUGGGAGGCUUCAUCCAAUGGCUUUGCUUUGGAAAUCCCGGUGUUUUAGCUUUUCAUGCUAAUUUGAAGAUUGUGAGCAGUUUCUUCCCCAAAAUAUAUCAUGGACUCAAGGUGUUAUACUUUAUGCUUCUUCUUUAACACUAUUUCAAAAGGGUUGGUGCACCAAUUAACUGAUGUAAAAAUAUACCUGUAAUAAUAUAUUUUAGUAGCACUUUUGCAGUUGCUACCCUUAAAACCAUGUCAACACUUCCAAUAUAAACCUGAAUUUCACAGGUGUUUUAAUUCCAGAGGGGGUGGGGAUUUUUUUUUCUAAAAAGAAUUUAGAAUACAAAUUACCAAUCUGAGAAAAAUAUUAUUUGAAGAUUGGUUAUAAAUAUAUUUGAAAGGAAAAUUCAGGCAUUUUCCAAGGUGCUCUUUCUGACUUUACACAAGACUCACCCAUUUACCUGUAUUAAAAAUUACUUUCCAGGAAGUGCCACAGCAAGUUUUCAACACCUAAGCAAUUUUUUAAACAAGUGGAUAUAGUGUUAUAUGUGUACCAACCCAUCUUGUAUUAACUGACUGAAAUUUCAUCUAUUCAGCUAUUAUUUUCUUCUGAAUGAAGUUAUUGUCUUUUAUCUUGGCUUUAGUCACCUCCCACACAAUUAGUCCAUCUAAUCAUAUUUAAGAGCCUGACACUGAUUUCAUCCCCCAAAUAUCACUCUCAUUGAUGAGAGCUGGCUGCAGGGAUUCAAAUCAGAAUGUAGCUCUUCUUUUAUAUGCCAAAUGUAAUUUAAAAUUAUAUCAGCAGUUUUUUUUCUUCCAGAGGUUUGCCCCCCAGUACAUUUAUGUGAAGUCACUAAGAAAACUUGAUGGUAUAAAUUAAGAAAAUUAAUUUCAUUGGUUUAUGUUACUUAAAACAAGCAAUCAGUAACCCUGACAUAUAUACUGGUGUUGGUUUGCAGAUUGUAUUUCACACUUCCUCUAGUAGCCUGAAGGAAUCCCAUUAGUUCAUUAUAUUUGUGGACCAUCUGGAUCACUAUGGAACAACUGAAGGUUAGGAGAUAAUGUUAGUACUAGAGUUAAUAGCACAUGGUGGGUGUUGAGACUCUAAAAGUAGCAAGGAUUUUUAAACAGUCCUAACUGUAAAAUAACUAUGUAGGCUUGCUAAAAAAGUAGUUUUUGGUCUAUGAAGGAGUGAUGUGCACUUGAAUUACUGUACUACUGAUUGUUAUUGCUGCCCAUCAUAGUGCCUAUUAAUAAUAAUCAACCUGUCAGAUUUUGGCAAACUGGAGCUGUGAAUAUUCUAGUAUUCGAUUGUUCCUAUCGCUAUUGCUAUGAGUGUAUACUCUCUCUUAAAGUCUUCCUUUCUAAAAUUUAUAUCCAUUAGUUCUCAAUGACUUCCUUAUUCCUUUUGGGUCUGAUAAGAUUUGAGUAUGUGUCUAUAUAUAUAUAUAUACAUAUAUAUAUACACACGUAUAUAUGUAUAUACACAUAUACAUAUAUAUGUAUGUAUACAUACAUUCAAUACCAUGUCAGACUUAAAGAUAAAUAUCUUUAACUCACUGUAUAUAAACAUUAUUAAAUUUACUUUUCCAUUAAUUAUUUAAGUAAAGAAUUAGUUAAGCAGCCAAAUUUUCUACCUUGUAUGUAUACUUCAGAGUUUUCACAAUCUCAAAGCUGCAGAUUAAAUAGAUGCAUAUAUACUGGCAAUUGAAUACACUCAAAUUAUUAAGCCUUCUGCCAGUCCUUUUGUUUCAUUUUUUCAUACUCAUUGAAAAAUGAGAUGAUGCUAUGAUUUUUGAUACUUAAAAUUCCCAAGAACUCAUUAGCCAUAAUUAAAUAUGAUCCAGUUCAAAACUCUGGUCUUAGGACAUAUAUUGCCAUGUAUCUUAUAAAAUAAGCUACUAUUCUUAUCUGUGCAAUAUGCAUUUUAUUUAUUGUCAUUUGUAACAUACAUGGAGCUGCAAGGGUACUUGGUAUCCUUCAAAAUAACAGAAUCCCUGCCUUAAAGACAUUAAACUCUUAAGGCAACUGGAAGCUAGAAGUUAAAAAAUGAGCAUGAAAGUUAGUAACCAAAAGUACUAGUUCACUGUAUAAUUCUAAAACACUGAUGAUGUUUGCACAUAAUAAUCCUAGCAUAAUGUGGUACAGGCUCAAAACUGUAGUAAUAUAAGCUAAUAGUAUAAAAUUUGGAAACGGGUUCCUCUUGAUAGUUGGCAGUGUGCUCCUAGCAACUGAAAGCAGCACUAAUCUGUUGCUUAUAUGCAAAAGAUGCAAUGUAUUAUAAAGAUAUUAAAGUUCUGCUACAUUUUAUAAUUUUCCUUGUUAAAGCCCCAAACUGCCAUGUCCCUGAAACUUGAGUCAAACACAAGCUUAUUUGCACUAAAGAGCAUGGCCAAAAAAAUAAAUGACAGGGUGGAAAAAGCUAGUUGGAACCUUUUGAAAUAAUUGGUUCUAAUAGGAGAAUUUCACAUUUGUCUAUUUGAAAGCUGUAUGGUCCAGGCAGACAAUCUGUCAGUUCACUAAUUUAAUAAUGCACUUUACCUUUUGUAUAUAGAAGAUGUACAUUUAUGCCACUUGACAGGUGGGAUGUGUUUCAAUAACUAUGUAGUUAGAAUCUAUAGGGUGAUCUCUUGCAUGCAUAUGUUUGUGUUGGAACUGUUGUAGUAACAGGUUUCCAUUAAAUCAGUGUAAUGGAGAAGAGUAGAAGAUGCUUUUGAAACAAAUCCCAGUAUAUUUAACAAAGAAUUUAAAGUAGAGUUCACAUUUGAUGUCUUAAGUACUAUAAUAAAUAAAAUACUAAUUCCAACCCAAAUUUUUAUUACAAUUGAGACUAUAUUAGUUGAGAUUCCCCAUAAUGCCCUGAAAGUUAAUUUGGGGAGUUUGUCCAUACAAAAAUUACCUUCACUCAUUGUUUCCUUGUUGAUAUGUGUUUAAGUAAUGAAUAAAAAUGCAGUACAUAAUAUUAUACUCGAAUUAAAAGUGUGGUUAGCUGAUAUAGCAUUAUUUAAAGAACACUCAGACUAAAGAAAGUUUCAAGUUAAGAAAAUGCAAGGAACCUAUGAACAGUCACUAACACAAAUAUGAUAUCUCAAAAUUCACGGAAGUACUAACCUGCUCCAACUAAAAAGGGUGUUGGGGGAUUUAGUGUAUCCUUCCAUCUUAAAAAUUUCCUAAGAUGUACAUGUGAAAACUGGAUAACUGUUGCUUAAUAAUACUUUACUGAGAAACACUGUGUACUAACAAUUCAUCAAGAGUGUGCUAUAUUUACUGCAUUAAUUUUAUAUCUGUAGAUAAGAAUACAUUAUAUAGUCCUCCUAUCUUAAUAUAAUCAUGUAUUUAUAUUGUAAUUUUGCAAAUAUUUUCCUUAAAAUAAACAUUUAUCUGAGCUGCACAAUUUGAAGAGGAUGAAAUUGGAAUACACCCUCAGAUGCUCAUUUUUAAUAAGCAGCUACCAUUGAAAGCUGAUAAUUAGAAGUUGGGCAGAUACAUGAUUGAUUCAUGUGUCUGCAUAGAUGCUUCAAGGUAUAUUCUUCUCUUGGUGAGUAAAAUUAUAUUUUCCUUGGCAUCAAUGCAUUGAGAUCUGAAUAUACCUGUAUCUAUCAAUCCUUAUUACACAUUUCUUAUACAGUAGCUUCAAAUAUGCCAAAAAAUGGCCUAGACACAACUAAAAAUUGAGGGUUUGUUACAUGCUUUCUAACAGAAAGGUUUUCAUUGAGAUUAAUUUUGGGUUUGUACUGUGAAAAUAGUGGAACACCCUUGAAAACUUCAUGUUUGCUAAAUUAAAAUUAAUAUUUUUUCUUUAGCUCACAAAUUAUCCCAAAUCCAGAGAGAAUAUCAACCUUUUUCACUGUUGUCAAAUCAAGCAUAAGGAACAGCCCCAUGAUACUACAAAAACAGUUGAGGAAUAAGGAAUAAAUCUCUUAUGUUACACCUCAGAAUAAAGGCAUUCGGUGAAAGAAAUGAACUGAAGUUCAUCAUGAAUGCAAGGCCUCUGUACUUGACAUUCCUCCAAGGAAAGGAAGACAAGUAUCGACACCACUGGCAUCAUUUCCAAACUGACCUUACGUGGAAUAAUUUCCACCACAUUGAAGUACUUUUCGACUCUAUCCGGUUUUUAGGUUUUGUUUUUUUUAAUUCAUCAAGCCUUUCUGUUUUCAGACCACCAUUUGUCAGCCUUGAGGUAGAGAGAUGUAUAGAUUUGAAAACUUUCUUAAGAGAUCAUGUAACUAUAUAACUCUGAAUUUAAAAAUUGAGGAGGGGGAGGGAUAAUUUCAACCCAAUGCCUCUUACCAGAAACAUUUUUUUAAAUCUGUAACUGCUUUAGUGUUAACAGGGUACAAGGUGGUUUUUGUCCCGUAUUGUUCUUAAAAGGUUCUCAUUUAUUGUGAUUGUAUUGUACUGUAUGAAAAUAAAUCAUAAAUUGCCUUGUAUUGUUUAUAAUAGACCAUACCACGUACUACUCAGUUUUUAUGUUCCAAGUUUUUCAGUGAUGCAUGUUAACAGUUAGGUCCUAAAAUUCUGUGGUGCUAAUUCUCCCAUACCCAAUGGUGCUUUUGUGGAUGCUAACUGCACACAUGCUGAACAAAGCUUGAAGUUUAAAACUUUCCUCCCUUCCUCUGUUUAUAUGAAGUAAAAUAAAAUAACUUGAAUUUGUCUCAAAGUAUCACUGACAAUCUAAUAAACUUGUUUAUAUGUGUGAUUA